GGUUAGCCUUGGGCUGAUGAGGAAAGAAAAGUUUUGUAGACAGAGAAAGGAGGACUAAGAGGCUGAUCCUGCAUCCGCUGAAAUUCUGCACCCAGGGACAAAGCACCCACUGAUCUAAACGAUGCAGAAACAUCACGAGUGGCUCUGUCACCUGGAGAAAGUGGUUCUUCAGCCGCUACGGAAAGCAGCACUCUGAGUGAGACCUAAUUAUGCAGACAGAGGAGUGGUGGGAGGUGAAUCCAGGCGCAUGUACCACAGAUUCCAUUAAUGUUCGGAGGACAAUGUAACAGUUCUCUCCUGGAAGAGAGAGGCCUAAUUUGGAAGUCCUUCUUGAUCUCCGUUUACAACAUACCAAGCGUAACGAAUAACCCUGCACUUGGGGUUUCUCUGAGUCAAUAUACUGCUGUAGUAAAACCACGCUGCACCUGGGGAAGACAUCAGUGCUCUGCUCUGGAUUGCAACCCAUACUAGAAGAAAAGAUUCUUAAAGAGAUCUUUCCAGAACCACCCAUCCUAGCCUUUAAACAAGCACUGAACCUCACCAACCUCAUCACCAGAAGCAAACUUCCCAUGACCCAAAGCACACCAAAUGGAUCCAGACCAUGCUGGGACAGGAAAUGUAAAACCUGGCAACACAUCACCACCACUCCCACAAUAACUAAACCCCACAGCACAACUAUCGCCGUUCCUGGAUCUUCCACCUGCACCUCCAGAAAUGUAACAUAUCUCAGCCAGUGCAUGGAAUGCCCUGAUGGAAACUACAUAGGAGAAACGAAACAAUUGCGUACCAGAAUGAAUGCACGCUGAAAAUCUAUCAAAGACAAGAAUACCCAGCUACCUGUGG